rnacentral:rRNA from 1 species
GAUGAACGCUGGCGGCGUGCCUAAUACAUGCAAGUCGAGCGGACCGACGGGAGCUUGCUCCCUUAGGUCAGCGGCGGACGGGUGAGUAACACGUGGGUAACCUGCCUGUAAGACUGGGAUAACUCCGGGAAACCGGGGCUAAUACCGGAUGCUUGAUUGAACCGCAUGGUUCAAUCAUAAAAGGUGGCUUUCAGCUACCACUUACAGAUGGACCCGCGGCGCAUUAGCUAGUUGGUGAGGUAACGGCUCACCAAGGCGACGAUGCGUAGCCGACCUGAGAGGGUGAUCGGCCACACUGGGACUGAGACACGGUCCAAACUCCUACGGGAGGCAGCAGUGGGGAAUAUUGCACAAUGGGCGAAAGCCUGAUGCAGCAACGCCGCGUGAGCGAUGAAGGCCUUCGGGUCGUAAAGCUCUGUCCUCAAGGAAGAUAAUGACGGUACUUGAGGAGGAAGCCCCGGCUAACUACGUGCCAGCAGCCGCGGUAAUACGUAGGGGGCUAGCGUUAUCCGGAAUUACUGGGCGUAAAGGGUGCGUAGGCGGUCUUUCAAGCCAGAAGUGAAAGGCUACGGCUCAACCGUAGUAAGCUUUUGGAACUGUAGGACUUGAGUGCAAGAGAGGAGAGUGGAAUUCCUAGUGUAGCGGUGAAAUGCGUAGAUAUUAGGAGGAACACCAGUAGCGAAGGCGGCUCU